GCGACCCCUCCCUCUCCUCCUCUUGUGGGGGGGGGGGCAUCCCCUUAUAAAAUACUCCCCCCUUCUAAAAACUUUGUUUUUUUUUAAAAAAGAAGAGGGAGAAAAAGUGGGUGUUUUUGGGCAGUUUGUUUGGGGGGGUGUUUUACCUUGGGGGGUUUUCUCUCACAAAGCAGAAAGGGGGGAGGCCUGAAGGGUUGCUUUAUCCCCGGUGGGAAUUUUUUAGGUUUUUUCAAUUUUUUUAACCACAGUUAAUUUCCGACCCCGACAAAUCCAACACUUUCAAAAUUAGGUUCAUAUUUUUCCGGUGGUUCGUAAUGGAAGGGCCAUCGCUCAAAGGAUUAAAGGAACUCCCGGGGAAACCAGGCUGAUCCCCCCCAAGAUUUAAAUUGAGGGGCGGUGAUUGGCACCUCGAAUUCGGGUCAUCCCAUCCCUGGGGUUGAAGUAGGUCCCAAGGGUAGGCCUGUUCGCCAUUUAAAGUGGUACGCGAGCUGGGUUUAAAACGUCGUGAGACAGUUCGGUCCCUUUCUGCCGUGGGCGUAGGAGAAUGGGUGGGGCUGCUCCUAGUACGAGAGGACCGGAGUGGACGCACCAUUGGUGUUCCGGUUGUGUCGCCAGACGCAUUGCCGGGUAGCUAAGUGCGGAAGAGAUAAGUGCUGAAAGCAUCUAAGCACGAAACUUGCCAAGAGAUGAGUUCUCCCAAUCAAAGAGAUUGUAAGGGUUGUUGUAGACUACGACGUAGAUAGGUCUGGUGUGUAAGUGUAGUGAUGCAUUGAGCUAACAGAUACUAAUUGCCCGAGAGGCUUAACU
rnacentral:rRNA from 1 species